GACGAACGCUGGCGGCGUGCUUAACACAUGCAAGUCGAACGGGAUUUAGUAGACAGAAGCCUCGGCUAAAGAUUACUACUGAGAGUGGCGAACGGGUGAGUAACGCGUGAGCAACCUGCCUAUGACAGUGGGAUAGCCUCGGGAAACCGGGAUUAAUACCGCAUAAAAUCGUAGAAACACAUGUUUUAACGGUCAAAGAUUUAUCGGUCAUAGAUGGGCUCGCGUCUGAUUAGCUAGUUGGUGAGAUAACAGCCCACCAAGGCGACGAUCAGUAGCCGGUCUGAGAGGAUGAACGGGCACAUUUGAACUGAGACACGGUCCAAAAUCCUACGGGAGGCAGCAGUGGGGAAUAAUGCACAAUGGGGGAAACCCUGAUGCAGCGACGCCGCGUGAACGAAGAAGGUAUUCGUAUCGUAAAGUUCUGUCCCAUGGGAAGAUAAUGGCAGUACCAUAGAAGAAAACUCCGGCUAAAUACGUG
rnacentral:rRNA from 1 species